GACUUUGGAGCCUCAGUGUUGGGAUUGCUCUGAAAAUUAAAGACAGCCUCCCCGCCACUCACCCUCCCAAAAAAAGACACCCCCGCCCGGAGAGUUAAUUCAGGCCAGAGUUUAUAAACCCUGGGUGGUUUUCCCAAUUAGGGGGCUUAAAAUGAAUAAACAAGGAAAACAGCGUCACUCUAAGCAGGCAGCAACCUUAGAAUUUUUUUUUUCUUCUGUGGUUUGCCGACUGCUCGGCACCUAAGAGGACACACACUGCAAACGGCAAAGGAGAAACGUGGUCCUGGGGAGAACCACCAGCCUGGAAGCUCCCCCGCAGCUCGCCGGAGCGCAGUUCCUUCCCCCGCCUGGCGGGAGAUGAAUCAGCGGCUGAGUCCGAGUGCGGGACAGAUGUGCGGCCGGGAGGGGCGCCCGUUGGAGCGCCGCUCGGUGCCUGCGUUUGAAGGCACACUUAGUUCCAUUUGGGGUUUUAUCUUCUGAAGCUGCCUCAAGGCCAAGAAAAGAAACAGUUGUAUAAAUGACAUGUCCUGAGCCUGUUGCUUGCUGACUGCAUCUGCUCUGCAGCCGCCACUCUGAGACUCCCCAGUGACCUUGUUGGAAACUGCUCUUUCCUGGACGCCAGUGUCUUUCCCUUGGUUUAUUCCUUUGUCUUGCUGAGGCAUAUUGCCAGGUAACUUCCUAAGAAAGGAUACGUGGGAAGUGAAAUUUCUGCAUCCUUGCAUUUUGGGAUCUGCAGGACAUCUGACUUCCUCUCAGGUUCCAUUGAAAAAAUGGAAAAGAAGCCCCAAAAGAUUAUUAAAUGGCACGAGUGAUAAGAAGCAAAGAAAGACCUAGGCUGCAAAGUUUGAAGUUAUGAUGGAAGAUAGUAGAAGAGAUUACAGGGAAAAGAAUGGGGGGGGUAAUACCGCAGCCCAAGUAUCAAAUGUAAGAUAUUUUUCCUGAGGAAGCAUCUAAGCUCACAGUCAACAAAUCCAACAUACAUCACUUGCGGGUAGAGAGUCACAUCAUGCCAGUUCCUGCUCCAAGCUUCACCUUUGAGAGGACUGGGAGCUUCCACUUCCUUCCUCUUGUAGCUCCUGGAACCCAGCUAGCUACCUGUCAGGACCCAGUGGCCACCCAUGACAGGCAUAAGCCACAUGCAAAGGCCGAGUGAAGGUGCUCCAGUCAGCAGUACACUAUGAUUUACAAAUAUUGAUAGCUGAAAAGGGAAGAGGAUGUGAAUGGUAGAGUAUGUAAAGCCCUCAUCUUUAAAAGAAGGAUCAAGACACAGCAAUAUAAUUUAAAGUGUUAACUGCAACCACCAGAAAAACAAAACACAACUUUUGAAGUUAUUUCAGCCAAGUGGGACUAAGGGUUGGAAUAAUUCAGAAGACAACUUACGUUUUUUAUUUUAGACUCUUUUUUAGUUUUUUUUGUCAUGUAAACUAUUUCCUUACUUUUUAAAACUUAGUUAAAAUGUUAUAUUUAAUGCAUAAAAAAAUAAAAGAACUAUAAGAAAAUAUCACUUUCUUCUGGGUACUGAAAAUGUAGGGUCUUCCUUUUCUUUUUUUACUUUAUCAAUUUCUCUCUCUCUAUAUGUAUAUAUAUAAAGAUUCUGAUAGGUGAAAUUAUAAAACCCAUCCACAUGCACAAGAGUCACACUGAAGACAAAAGAUCUCAGAAUAUAAGUAAAAGAAUGAACAAAAGUAUAGCAGGCCAGUUCAAUUUAAAAAAAGCAAUAGUAAGAAGUUAAGGCAAAAAGAAGUAAACAGGUCAGAGGUUCACUUAGUAAUCAUUAUAGAUAUUUAUACACAAUACAUAAAUGUCAUGAAACUUUAUACACCAAAAAAAUCAAACUAUAUGAAGCACAGAUUCAAGAAUUAGAGCAGAAACAACAAAAUUGUAAAAACUGAAAAAUUAGUAUACUUCUUAAGUAGUACUAAGAAAAAAGAGGAUAAAGUGAUGUACUUUAAAAGGUUAAAUCUGUAUGUGUUAAAAAUUAUGUAUGAAAAAAUGGAAGGAUCCUUUCUUUGCACUUAGUGAGUUUGGAGACAGGAAGGGAGAUGAUUAGCUUUGAUUUUUGCAUCUUUAUUGUACUGUUAUACUUAAUAUAGCAAGGAAGCAUUACUUUUGUAAUAUGAGAAAUAUCAAAUAGAGAAAAUUUAUACCAGUUUAUAAACCUGGAUAAAUUUUGAAAUCUAUACCCUGAACACAUCUUCUUUGCAAAUGCUAAUAAAUAAUGACUGCAAUUUACUGUAAUUAUUCCACCAUAAACACCUCAAUAAUAUCCCACCAAGAAGAGAAUAUAACCUACUUUUCUCUGACAGCAAUGUAAUAAAAAUGCAAUAAAAGAGAAAAUCAGCAAUGAAAGUGAAGAGGCAAAACAAACGUCAACAACUUGGAAAUUCUGUGACUAGUAGAAAAAAAUAAAAUAAUAAUAACAGAUCAGAGCACACGAAACAAAGUUAAGGUUAUUCUAAGAGAAAAUUCAGGAGCUCCAAUGCCUUCAUUUCUUAUUGAGGAAAAUAAUUAUUCAAUCAGCAAAUAACUAAAUUUUGUUAAAGAAUGACAACAAUAUUCUAGAGAAAGUAGAAAGCAUCGCAACAAAACAAAUUAGUGAAUUAGAAGUCUUGCUAGAUAACUCUAACCAGUUCUUGAAACACAGUAACUAAAAUAAAACCUAUCCUAUAAAAUGGAACCAUUGUUAGCUAGGCUAGUCAUGGGGAAAACUGGAAAAAGCAUGGACAUAGAAGAACCAAGGUAGGAGGGAAACCCAGUUGGGUCCCACCAUUCCUCCCAAUUCAUCUGUGACUCAUGGUAGGGCUAAUUUCUUCCGGUGUUUCCUUUGUGAAAGUUAUAACCCAAGAGACUCUGGAAUUAACCCUGGCAGGUGAAAAUGCUGAGAAAUGCACAGAGACCAAACAAUCAUAUUAAUAUGAUGUCUGCAGAGCAGGAUGUUUCUAUGGUGCAGAUGAAGAGUAAGAGACACACAACAGUAUAAACUAGUGAGCGCUGACUUCAAGCAAUAGGUUUGUCAUGGAGAAAUAAAUCCUCAUCUGAUUGGCUGUCAACCAAUCAAACACCCAUGUACCACUCGAAACAGGAGAUGAAGCUACAAUUGCUGUGAUCAGCAAGAGACAAGAAGUGUCUAAUCAAAAUCAAACACUCUGUGACAUCCUUAUUCCAGAAUAUGAUGUCAGUAAUAUUCUCAUGCUGGGAAGUAUGACUUUAUUCAGUCACAUCUUGGCAGGAUUUUCUGUGCAUUGAUUCUUCCCUCUUGUAUUUCUUUACAGCUGAUAAAUCAUCUAGUAUAAUGCAUAAGCAGAGUGCUUGCUGUUCACUUCUUUUAUUUUUAUUUUUAUUUUAUUAAUUUCAAUGGCCACGAUGGUUAAGAUCAACAAAAAAAAAUGAAUCCAUUCUUCCAUGAGCGACAUGCUCAUUCAACUUUUACCUUUAUAAUUUCAUUAAGAUUAAUAACAAAAUUUAUAUGCCUUUCCUCAUGGGAUGAAAUAAAUGUUUUUCUUGUAUCAUUGUGAAACUGAAGUUCAAUUCAUAAGUUGUGUGUAUGUGUAUAGGUCUGUCUAUGAGGGGGAAAAAAGCAAUUGAAGGAAGUUGAUUCUAGAAUCUGGAUAGUUUUUCCUCUAUACAAUGUGUCUUCAUGUUUAAAUAUGUUUCUAGUUAAAAUUCCAACUACAGCAUGUUGGUUACUUAGAAUUUAAAAUAUUGUUACUAGUAUUUUGUGUUUAAGUAUUGUGCUCAGAUAAUCUGCUCUAUAUAAUUUCCACUUUUUAGUUGCCUAAUAAUAAAUUCCAUUGACAUUGGGAAAAAAAAUAUUAUCUGUGUGAAAAGUUAACAUCUGAUGUGUAGCUAUUAAGGUAACUUGAUUAAUUUUGUCAUUGUGGCCUCCAUAACCUACCUUGUUUAUAUCCUGUGUGAUUUGUCAAAUACCAAGAAAGGUGUUUUAAAAUACCUAUACCUAGCAAUAUUAUAUCUGUUAAUUUCUUUUGUGAGUGUUAUAUUUUGACACAGUCUUAUUCAUGGUUAACAGGAACAUGAAGUGUAACCUUUACUAAUGUAUUUGACAGUAGUUUUCUUUCAGUAAACUGGGUUCAUGGCUGGAGGGAGGGCAAAAUUAAACUUUUACUUUUACUUUUA